rnacentral:rRNA from 1 species
GACGAACGCUGGCGGCGUGCUUAACACAUGCAAGUCGAACGAAGUGGCGAACGGGUGAGUAAUACGUGGGUAACUUCCCUCCUUUUUGGGAUAAGCCUUGGAAAAGGGGUCUAAUACCGAAUUAAGGGGGAUGGCUCGCGGCCUAUCCGGUUGUUGGUGGGGUAGUGGGCUACCAAGGCGACGACGGGUAGCCGGCCUGAGAGGGGGACCGUCCCCAUUGGGCUUAGAGACGGCCCAAACUCCUACGGGGGGCAGCCGUGGGGAAUAUUGUGCAAUGGGGCAAACCCUGAUGCAGCAACGCCGCGUGCGGGAUGACUGCCUUCGGGUUGUAAACCGCUUUCAGCCAUGACGCGUUAGUGGCAGAAGAAGCACCGGCUAACUACGUGCCAGCAGCCGCGGUAAUUC